rnacentral:rRNA from 1 species
UACGUAGGGGGCAAGCGUUGUCCGGAAUCAUUGGGCGUAAAGAGCGUGUAGGCGGCUCGGUAAGUCCGCUGUGAAAGUCCAGGGCUCAACCCUGGAAUGCCGGUGGAAACUGUCGAGCUCGAGUCCGGAAGAGGCGAGUGGAAUUCCUGGUGUAGCGGUGAAAUGCGCAGAUAUCUGGAGGAACAUCGGUGGCGAAGGCGGCAUCCUGGACCGGUAUUGACGCUGAGGCGCGAAAGCCAGGGGAGCAAACGGG